rnacentral:misc_RNA from 1 species
AAAAAUGGAUGCAGAAAUCACAGCUUCACCUCUAAAUGAUACAGAUAAUGCAAUUAUUUACACCUAUAAUCACUCGUUAGGGCCUCACGUUCCAAGAAUAACGCCUCAAUCCCAGCAAGUUGGAGUCCGCUAUACAAAUCCACACUGUCCAUGUCACUCAAUUUAAGCUCGUCUCAAUCCAAUGUUUUUAUAAAUUAACAGAAUUGCUCCUAUGCAAAAGCUAUUAUUAUCACGCCAAUCCCUUCCGUCUCCUGAACCUGUCAACACAACCUGUACUCGUUCGAGACUUCUCAGGUUUGUUCGACUUCUUUGUCUUAUCAAGUCGACUAUCCAAACUAUUUCUUGGAAUUUCUGGAAGGUCAGAAUGAAGAUUGAAUGUGUUUGAGGAGACAUUUUCAGCUGGUUUCUUAGUGUCAGAGAUUAAUGCCGGUUUAUGAGAACCAUUUGAAGCAUGCUUUGAUUUGCCAAGACCAAGAACAAACUUUUUAAGAUGCUUGAUGUAAACCGGGUAAAGUUCAAGAUUGCAAUGCCCGCCUCCAUUUAUCCACAGUGGUUCAUACUUCUUCUUGCAUAGUUCAUAGAGUCGUUUUCCGUGGGAGCAAUCAACAACUUCAUAUGGAUGACUA